rnacentral:lncRNA from 1 species
GAAUUUUCUGGUUGUGAAGUACUCUGCUCUUUCAGUCCACAAUACCGACCAGUACUUCUUUGUAGGACUGAUCCUCUUGGAGUGAAAGAGGCUCGUGGGCCAAAACGUGAGAGGAGUUCGGGUUGUACUUGCAUAGUAUGAACACGUGAAACACAUUAUGGACCCUAAAAAGUUCUGUAGGCAGUGCCAGUCUGCAGACGACGGU